rnacentral:rRNA from 1 species
GACGAAGGGGGCUAGCGUUGUUCGGAAUUACUGGGCGUAAAGCGCGUGUAGGCGGUUGUUCAAGUCAGGUGUGAAAGCCUUGAGCUCAACUCAAGAAAUGCACUUGAUACUGGAUGACUAGGGGACCGGAGAGGAUAGUGGAAUUCCCAGUGUAGUGGUGAAAUACGUAGAGAUUGGGAAGAACACCAGUGGCGAAGGCGGCUAUCUGGACGGUUUCUGACGCUAAGACGCGAAAGCGUGGGGAGCAAACAGG